GCUGGGCACAGUGGCCCAUGCCUGUAAUCUCAGUGGCUUGGGAGGCCGAGGCAAGAGGAUUGCAAGUUCAAAGUCAGCCUCAGCAACUUAGCAAGGCCUGAAGCUAAUUAGUGAGACCCUGUCUCAA
rnacentral:sRNA from 1 species